rnacentral:rRNA from 3 species
AGAGUUUGAUCAUGGCUCAGAUUGAACGCUGGCGGCAGGCCUAACACAUGCAAGUCGAACGGUAACAGGAAGCAGCUUGCUGCUUUGCUGACGAGUGGCGGACGGGUGAGUAAUGUCUGGGAAACUGCCUGAUGGAGGGGGAUAACUACUGGAAACGGUGGCUAAUACCGCAUAACGUCGCAAGACCAAAGAGGGGGACCUUCGGGCCUCUUGCCAUCAGAUGUGCCCAGAUGGGAUUAGCUUGUUGGUGAGGUAACGGCUCACCAAGGCGACGAUCCCUAGCUGGUCUGAGAGGAUGACCAGCCACACUGGAACUGAGACACGGUCCAGACUCCUACGGGAGGCAGCAGUGGGGAAUAUUGCACAAUGGGCGCAAGCCUGAUGCAGCCAUGCCGCGUGUAUGAAGAAGGCCUUCGGGUUGUAAAGUACUUUCAGCGGGGAGGAAGGUGUUGUGGUUAAUAACCACAGCAAUUGACGUUACCCGCAGAAGAAGCACCGGCUAACUCCGUGCCAGCAGCCGCGGUAAUACGGAGGGUGCAAGCGUUAAUCGGAAUUACUGGGCGUAAAGCGCACGCAGGCGGUCUGUCAAGUCGGAUGUGAAAUCCCCGGGCUCAACCUGGGAACUGCAUUCGAAACUGGCAGGCUUGAGUCUUGUAGAGGGGGGUAGAAUUCCAGGUGUAGCGGUGAAAUGCGUAGAGAUCUGGAGGAAUACCGGUGGCGAAGGCGGCCCCCUGGACAAAGACUGACGCUCAGGUGCGAAAGCGUGGGGAGCAAACAGGAUUAGAUACCCUGGUAGUCCACGCCGUAAACGAUGUCUACUUGGAGGUUGUGCCCUUGAGGCGUGGCUUCCGGAGCUAACGCGUUAAGUAGACCGCCUGGGGAGUACGGCCGCAAGGUUAAAACUCAAAUGAAUUGACGGGGGCCCGCACAAGCGGUGGAGCAUGUGGUUUAAUUCGAUGCAACGCGAAGAACCUUACCUGGUCUUGACAUCCACGGAAGUUUUCAGAGAUGAGAAUGUGCCUUCGGGAACCGUGAGACAGGUGCUGCAUGGCUGUCGUCAGCUCGUGUUGUGAAAUGUUGGGUUAAGUCCCGCAACGAGCGCAACCCUUAUCCUUUGUUGCCAGCGAUUAGGUCGGGAACUCAAAGGAGACUGCCAGUGAUAAACUGGAGGAAGGUGGGGAUGACGUCAAGUCAUCAUGGCCCUUACGACCAGGGCUACACACGUGCUACAAUGGCGCAUACAAAGAGAAGCGACCUCGCGAGAGCAAGCGGACCUCAUAAAGUGCGUCGUAGUCCGGAUUGGAGUCUGCAACUCGACUCCAUGAAGUCGGAAUCGCUAGUAAUCGUGGAUCAGAAUGCCACGGUGAAUACGUUCCCGGGCCUUGUACACACCGCCCGUCACACCAUGGGAGUGGGUUGCAAAAGAAGUAGGUAGCUUAACCUUCGGGAGGGCGCUUACCACUUUGUGAUUCAUGACUGGGGUGAAGUCGUAACAAGGUAACCGUAGGGGAACCUGCGGUUGGAUCACCU